rnacentral:rRNA from 1 species
ACUAAGCGUACACGGUGGAUGCCCUGGCAGUCAGAGGCGAUGAAGGACGUGCUAAUCUGCGAUAAGCGUCGGUAAGGUGAUAUGAACCGUUAUAACCGGCGAUUUCCGAAUGGGGAAACCCAGUGUGAUUCGUCACACUAUCAUUAACUGAAUCCAUAGGUUAAUGAGGCGAACCGGGGGAACUGAAACAUCUAAGUACCCCGAGGAAAAGAAAUCAACCGAGAUUCCCCCAGUAGCGGCGAGCGAACGGGGAGCAGCCCAGAGCCUGAAUCAGUGUGUGUGUUAGUGGAAGCGUCUGGAAAGGCGCGCGAUACAGGGUGACAGCCCCGUACACAAAAAUGCACAUACUGUGAGCUCGAUGAGUAGGGCGGGACACGUGGUAUCCUGUCUGAAUAUGGGGGGACCAUCCUCCAAGGCUAAAUACUCCUGACUGACCGAUAGUGAACCAGUACCGUGAGGGAAAGGCGAAAAGAACCCCGGCGAGGGGAGUGAAAAAGAACCUGAAACCGUGUACGUACAAGCAGUGGGAGCACGCUUAGGCGUGUGACUGCGUACCUUUUGUAUAAUGGGUCAGCGACUUAUAUUCUGUAGCAAGGUUAACCGAAUAGGGGAGCCGAAGGGAAACCGAGUCUUAACUGGGCGUUAAGUUGCAGGGUAUAGACCCGAAACCCGGUGAUCUAGCCAUGGGCAGGUUGAAGGUUGGGUAACACUAACUGGAGGACCGAACCGACUAAUGUUGAAAAAUUAGCGGAUGACUUGUGGCUGGGGGUGAAAGGCCAAUCAAACCGGGAGAUAGCUGGUUCUCCCCGAAAGCUAUUUAGGUAGCGCCUCGUGAAUUCAUCUCCGGGGGUAGAGCACUGUUUCGGCAAGGGGGUCAUCCCGACUUACCAACCCGAUGCAAACUGCGAAUACCGGAGAAUGUUAUCACGGGAGACACACGGCGGGUGCUAACGUCCGUCGUGAAGAGGGAAACAACCCAGACCGCCAGCUAAGGUCCCAAAGUCAUGGUUAAGUGGGAAACGAUGUGGGAAGGCCCAGACAGCCAGGAUGUUGGCUUAGAAGCAGCCAUCAUUUAAAGAAAGCGUAAUAGCUCACUGGUCGAGUCGGCCUGCGCGGAAGAUGUAACGGGGCUAAACCAUGCACCGAAGCUGCGGCAGCGACGCUGAUGCGUUGUUGGGUAGGGGAGCGUUCUGUAAGCCUGCGAAGGUGUGCUGUGAGGCAUGCUGGAGGUAUCAGAAGUGCGAAUGCUGACAUAAGUAACGAUAAAGCGGGUGAAAAGCCCGCUCGCCGGAAGACCAAGGGUUCCUGUCCAACGUUAAUCGGGGCAGGGUGAGUCGACCCCUAAGGCGAGGCCGAAAGGCGUAGUCGAUGGGAAACAGGUUAAUAUUCCUGUACUUGGUGUUACUGCGAAGGGGGGACGGAGAAGGCUAUGUUGGCCGGGCGACGGUUGUCCCGGUUUAAGCGUGUAGGCUGGUUUUCCAGGCAAAUCCGGAAAAUCAAGGCUGAGGCGUGAUGACGAGGCACUACGGUGCUGAAGCAACAAAUGCCCUGCUUCCAGGAAAAGCCUCUAAGCAUCAGGUAACAUCAAAUCGUACCCCAAACCGACACAGGUGGUCAGGUAGAGAAUACCAAGGCGCUUGAGAGAACUCGGGUGAAGGAACUAGGCAAAAUGGUGCCGUAACUUCGGGAGAAGGCACGCUGAUAUGUAGGUGAAGUCCCUCGCGGAUGGAGCUGAAAUCAGUCGAAGAUACCAGCUGGCUGCAACUGUUUAUUAAAAACACAGCACUGUGCAAACACGAAAGUGGACGUAUACGGUGUGACGCCUGCCCGGUGCCGGAAGGUUAAUUGAUGGGGUCAGCGCAAGCGAAGCUCUUGAUCGAAGCCCCGGUAAACGGCGGCCGUAACUAUAACGGUCCUAAGGUAGCGAAAUUCCUUGUCGGGUAAGUUCCGACCUGCACGAAUGGCGUAAUGAUGGCCAGGCUGUCUCCACCCGAGACUCAGUGAAAUUGAACUCGCUGUGAAGAUGCAGUGUACCCGCGGCAAGACGGAAAGACCCCGUGAACCUUUACUAUAGCUUGACACUGAACAUUGAGCCUUGAUGUGUAGGAUAGGUGGGAGGCUUUGAAGUGUGGACGCCAGUCUGCAUGGAGCCGACCUUGAAAUACCACCCUUUAAUGUUUGAUGUUCUAACGUUGACCCGUAAUCCGGGUUGCGGACAGUGUCUGGUGGGUAGUUUGACUGGGGCGGUCUCCUCCUAAAGAGUAACGGAGGAGCACGAAGGUUGGCUAAUCCUGGUCGGACAUCAGGAGGUUAGUGCAAUGGCAUAAGCCAGCUUGACUGCGAGCGUGACGGCGCGAGCAGGUGCGAAAGCAGGUCAUAGUGAUCCGGUGGUUCUGAAUGGAAGGGCCAUCGCUCAACGGAUAAAAGGUACUCCGGGGAUAACAGGCUGAUACCGCCCAAGAGUUCAUAUCGACGGCGGUGUUUGGCACCUCGAUGUCGGCUCAUCACAUCCUGGGGCUGAAGUAGGUCCCAAGGGUAUGGCUGUUCGCCAUUUAAAGUGGUACGCGAGCUGGGUUUAGAACGUCGUGAGACAGUUCGGUCCCUAUCUGCCGUGGGCGCUGGAGAACUGAGGGGGGCUGCUCCUAGUACGAGAGGACCGGAGUGGACGCAUCACUGGUGUUCGGGUUGUCAUGCCAAUGGCACUGCCCGGUAGCUAAAUGCGGAAGAGAUAAGUGCUGAAAGCAUCUAAGCACGAAACUUGCCCCGAGAUGAGUUCUCCCUGACUCCUUGAGAGUCCUGAAGGAACGUUGAAGACGACGACGUUGAUAGGCCGGGUGUGUAAGCGCAGCGAUGCGUUGAGCUAACCGGUACUAAUGAACCGUGAGGCUUAACC